CCGGGGUGUGCGGACUGUUAGAUUAGUCCGUGGGUGUAUCGCAGGUGAGGGAUUGGCACAUCCGCCCUCAUCAGCCUGCGGUAUGCACCAAUCGCAUUUGUUCGAAAUGACAUCGGAAGGACGUCCAAGAAAAGCUCCUAGGGUUAAGCUGUCAACCGUACUAAAACUGACACAGGUAGGCGAGACGAGUAGUCUAAGGCGCUCGGGAGAACGCUGGUUAAGGAACUCUGCAAAAUGGCCCCGUAAGUUCGCGAUAAGGGGCGCCUCUGGGGGUUAAUAGCUUCUGGGGGCCACAGUAAAUCGGCUCUUGCGACUGUUUAUCAAAAACACAGGACUCUGCUAACACGUAAGUGGAUGUAUAGAGUCUGACGCCUGCCCGGUGCUGGUAGGUUAAGGAAGGAGGUUAGCCGAAAGGCGAAGCUUGCGACCGAAGCCCCAGUAAACGGCGGCCGUAACUAUGACGGUCCUAAGGUAGCGAAGUUCCUUGUCGGGUAAGUUCCGACCUGCAUGAAUGGCGUAACGACAGGAGCACUGUCUCAACCAGCGACCCGGUGAAAUUGUAGCCGUGGUGAAGAUGCCACGUUCCCGCAGCUAGACGGAAAGACCCCAUGAACCUUUACUGUAGGCUGAUAUUGGGCUGUGGUUUGUCUUGUGUAGGAUAGGUGGGAGGCUUUGAGGCCCGGGCGCUAGCUCGGGUGGAGCCGCCGUUGAAAUACCACCCUGGAUAAGCUUUAGUUCUAACACCGAUUCCCGUUUAACCGGGCGGUGGACAUUGUCAGUUGGGCAGUUUGACUGGGGCGGUCUCCUCCUAAAAAGUAACGGAGGAGCCCAAAGGUACCCUCAGCCUGGUCGGCAAUCAGGCUUCGAGCGUAAAGGUAGAAGGGUGCUUAACUGCGAGACUUAUCAGUCGAGCAGAUACGAAAGUAGGGCUUAGUGAUCCGGUGAUUCCGAAUGGAAGGGUCAUCGCUCAUCAGAUAAAAGGUACUCUGGGGAUAACAGGCUUAUCGCUCCCGAGCGUCCAUAGCGGCGGAGCGGUUUGGCACCUCGAUGUCGGCUCAUCGCAUCCUGGGGGUGGAGAAGCUCCCAAGGGUUUGGCUGUUCGCCAAUGAAAGCGGUACGUGAGCUGGGUUCAGACCGUCGUGAGACAGGUCGGUCCCUAUCUGCUGUGGGCGCACGAAACUUGCGGAGCCUUCUCUUUAGUACGGGAGGAUUUAGAGGGACGUUCCUCUGGUUUACCAGUUGUCACGCUAGUGGCACGGCUGGAUAGCUAUGAACGGAAAGGAUAAACGCUGAAAGCAUAUAAGCGUGAAGCCCGCUCCAAGAUUAGGUUUCGUUGGACCUUUAUGGUCCGAAAGUCCCCUGGAAGACUACCAGGUUGAUAGGUCGGAUGUGUAAGCGUAGUUAAUACGUUCAGCUAACCGAUACUAACGGACGAACGCUUGGCCAC
rnacentral:rRNA from 1 species